UACAGAGGUCUCAAGCGUUGUUCGGAUUCAUUGGGCGUAAAGGGUGCGUAGGCGGCGCGGUAAGUCGGGUGUGAAAUCUCGGAGCUUAACUCCGAAACUGCAUUCGAUACUGCCGUGCUUGAGGACUGGAGAGGAGACUGGAAUUUACGGUGUAGCGGUGAAAUGCGUAGAUAUGACAUAGAACACCAAUUGCGAAGGCAGCUUGCUACACGAAUAUUGACUCUGAGGCACGAAAGCGUGGGAGUAAACAG
rnacentral:rRNA from 1 species